CCUCUAUUUCUUUCUGAAAAGUUACUUUUACGUUUGUCUUAUUUAAAUGUGCUGAAAUAUUUGCACUAGAAACUAGACCAAAAUUAUUUGGUAAGAUUUUGUGUUUUUGCAGUGUGCAGUGAAAACUUUUGAGCUUGGGGAGAUUAUUAAAAGUUUUCUAAGACGAGUCUGGUAAAUCUGAGACGCCAGAACCAAAAAAAGAUGUGGAGAUGAAAGUAUGGAUUAUGCCAGGUUUACAUGGAACAACCCAGCCAAAGCACGUUCUCAGAAUCAAAUAAAAUCCAUCUGUUACAGGUAAGAAUUGGUCCAAAAUGUGCUGUAUUAUAUGAAUACCAAAUUAAAGUCAGUCUAAAACUUUAUCGUUGAGUUGCUUGGAAAGCUUCUCUUUGCUUUUCUCUCUACUUUGUGAUGAAAAACUUAAGGAAUUUCUUUUUCCAGCUCUGGGUUUUAAUGCGCCACCUGCAGCAAUCAGCCAACAUCAGAACGCUUUCAGAAGCAGCUUGAAGCAGCACGGACCAUAAAACAUAACUCUCUUUCACCUUUUUCGCUUUGUAGACACUUCAUGGUUUUUGCUGAGGUCCUUAUCCAUCUCUGCCUAAUGGAGGAUUUGAGACACUCCAGUUAACUUUUAGACUCCAUAUUGUGCAAAGCUCUCAGUUGAAGUAAGGGAUUUUCAUGAUGUGAGCUUAUAAAGCAUUUUUAUUUUAUUUUUAUCCUCUGUGCUCUUUUGAAAGAAAUUACCUACCAUUUCAACUCUAAAAAUCUGCUGUCUUGUUUAGCAGUUUUUCUUCUACUAGAGUAACAAAAGAUAAAAGAAAAAUGCUCUCACCUGGGAAGACAACUGGAAGAAAUUCUUCUUUCCUUUCAGCAGCAACACAAAUGUGAUGUUAAUUCAAGAUUAUUCUGCAAAGUGAUCAGAUUCAUAAUAAUUUCAUAGAAUCAAGGUACAAUUAUUGAAGUAAUUAUAAGUUUUUACGUGUUUCCUGGGCUAACAGGAAAAUUACAACUUAUGUAGGUCAACAUGUUGAACUAGUCGUGGUUUGAAAUGCAGUUAAAAUGUCUGGAAAUGUUGAAACUUUGACAAUUCAGUCAGUAUUUAAACACAAAUAAUGUACACAAUUUAUUUUAGAAAAAAUGUUAGGCGCUCAGCUUGGGUUGCUAGGUGAUGGGCGGAGUUCUGUUGGGGUUGCUAGGUGAUGGGCAGAGUUCUGUUGGGGUUGCUAGGUGAUGGGCAGAGUUCUGUUGGGGUUGCUAGGUGAUGGGCAGAGUUCUGUUGGGGUUGCUAGGUGAUGGGCAGAGUUCUGUUGGGGUUGCCAGGUAACGGAUAAUUCCGGAGGUUUUUGUAGCUGCUCAAAAAGAACAAAACAUUUACCUAUAAAAAAAAACAAACAGCUUGGUGUUUUGGUUUUUCUUAAGCACUUGAACUGUUUGUAGAGGAAAGUGGAAGAACAAAUAUGUCAAAAAUGUAAAUUUUGCAAAAUCGGUCCCCUUUAAACGACAGGAUUUCUCUGUAAGAAUUACUUCACACCCAUGAGUCCUGUAAGAAGUUGUGUAAAAAUAAAUCAGUAUGAAAUAGGUCAUGACAUCUGCCAGGAGCUAUGCUUCCUCUUCCUGCCGUCUAAACUCGUGGGUUCAUGUUGGACUCUAAGGGCUCCUGAAAGAUCGUCCUGUUGAAACGUGGCUCAGAUUGAACGCCCUCUCUUCCUGCAUGUUCUCUCUCCCGUUGUUUAUUGUGUCUCUUGUCAUUAGCAUGCAGCAGCUCUCCCUGCAGACCUGUUUAGAUGCAGCAGAAAGCUGUGAUCAGAGGGUCUCCAGGUAUUUUCUGUUCUCAGAGGGAGUAAUUCAGCUCCUCAUGGUCGGCUCUGUGGGGGAAACAGAACAAUAAAAUAACCUGAGGGGAAUUUUUACAGGAACAAGAAUAAUGAUUUUUUUAAAACAAUUUGUUGUUCUAGCUAUAAUUAUCUCCAAAUUUAUUUGGAAAUGUUUCUUUAAGUUUACACUGUAUUCUAUUAAUCGUUUAUUGUUAUAUUUCUAAAAUGUUUGUCACCUUUGUUGAAUACAAAGCUGCAACCUUCACACACUUGACCAAAAUUUGUUGUUUCUAACUUCAUUUUCAAAAAGGUAAAAUGUCUGAAAAGCUAGUUAUUAUUGAAAUAUUUGUCUUUUAUCAGUUUCUAACCCUGAGCUUGACUUAUUUUUUGAAAGAAAUGAAUAAUUUUGUAGGAAAUUCUGACAAACUUGCUCAGCUACAAUUUUCAUGUCUCAUUAAAAGUGUUUUUGUUUUCACAUGCAGAAUAAAUGAACUAAUUAAAUUAUACUCAUCUGAGGUGAAAUUUUGAGAUAAACAGAUGGUUACAUGGAGUCCAUCACUUUGUUUACAGUUGAAAAUAUUGAAAAUCUGUUUUUCCAAUUUAUUUUGUUUUGUUUUGUUUUAAUUAAAUUUCACUCAAAACCUUCCAAUCAUAUUUCCUGAUCACUCAGAGUUUAACCAGCCAUCCUGCUUUAACUAUUCCACAUCAAUACUACAGCCUGCUGAUGUGAUUUACAUCAUAUCUCAGCAUCAGUUGUCCACUUCCUGCAUUAUGUUAAUAUAUGAGCAAAUCCAUAGUGCAGCUCGCUGGAAUGAUAAUUAAAUUAAUGCCUACUUAAGGUUGGUGUUAAGUGUGCUGAAUAAAUGUGCUAAAUGUUCUCCAUCAUGUGUGAAUGGAGCUGAUUAAUGCCUAUUCAUUGCGAAUAAAAAAGCAGCCAUAAGUGGUAAAAGAAGAGGCGUUGCUGCUGCACGGUGAAGGUGGGCAGGAUAAUUAUGAGGAACCGAAUCCUGAUUAGUGAUCUGAUGAGACUGCAGCACUGCGGGCAGCAGUGCUGCCGCUGCCUGAUUACAAACGACAUCGCAGACCUCUGUUGUCAGAUUCUAUCCGUCAUAAUUGUUAUGGAAAAUUAGUCUGGAGGAGAACUUUGGCUCUUUCUGCUGUGUGUUCACAAAACAGUCGGUUUGUUUACAACCCAGCCGAACUGGACAAGCAGAAGCUUUUUCUUGUGUUUGUUGUUUUUGUUCUACAAGGUUUUUUGUUUUUAUUAAAACCAAUUAUUAUUUUCCAUCCUUCGUAUUUCUGCAUUAAUUUGUGUUGGUUUAUCACACAGAAUUCAUAUAUAUUGCAACACGGAAGAAUGUGGAAAAGUUUAAGUUGUAUUAGUUUACAAUCUAUAAUCUGUCUCUGGCUUUUACCGAGCAAUUUUUUUGUGUAGUUAAAGGCAACUUAUUAUAAAAAAUUCACAUUUUGAAUAUUUUUAUACUUCAGUUUUGUUUAUAAUGUUUUAAAAACACCCAGCUGUGUUUUGGCUAUAAGUUAAUGUUUUUCUGGUGUCUGGAAAAUGAGCCGUUUCAAUAUUUUCUGGAGUGUAACGCUGCAAAUCAGCCAUUACCUAGCAACCGCAGUGAAGCCCAGCCUGUUACCUAGCAACUGCAGUGAAGCCCAACCCAUUACCUAGCAACCCCAGUGAAACCCAGCCCGUUGCCAAGCAACCGAAGCCGAGUUCCUGCAUAUUCGGUCAUCUGGUUUAUCGCUGUAUGUAACAAGUUUUUUGCUGUUGACUUUCCAUCCAGAAACCACUUUCUGUGUUCUUGUUGGUUGUGCAGAAGGCUCUACUUCUGCUUUGCAAAGAUGUACGGUUGUAUAAUUGCGAAUCGGUUUGUAGCCAUUUUCACGUACAAGAGUAAACGUUGAGUUUGGGUUUGUGGCCAGAAGCACCUUAUUCAGAUUUAAAGGGACGAGACGCCCUAAAACAG